rnacentral:rRNA from 1 species
AACGAACGCUGGCGGCAGGCCUAACACAUGCAAGUCGGACGGGAUCUUCGGAUCUAGUGGCGGACGGGUGAGUAACGCGUGGGAACGUGCCCUUUGGUUCGGAAUAGCCCUGGGAAACUGGGAGUAAUACCGGAUGAGCCCUUCGGGGGAAAGAUUUAUCGCCAAAGGAUCGGCCCGCGUUGGAUUAGGUAGUUGGUGGGGUAAUGGCCUACCAAGCCGACGAUCCAUAGCUGGUUUGAGAGGAUGAUCAGCCACACUGGGACUGAGACACGGCCCAGACUCCUACGGGAGGCAGCAGUGGGGAAUCUUAGACAAUGGGCGAAAGCCUGAUCCAGCAAUGCCGCGUGAGUGAUGAAGGCCUUAGGGUUGUAAAGCUCUUUUACCCGGGAUGAUAAUGACAGUACCGGGAGAAUAAGCUCCGGCUAACUCCGUGCCAGCCGCCGCUGUAAUAC